rnacentral:snoRNA from 1 species
UAACAAAUUCGUGAUGCUUUGGGGGGCAUAUUGUUUGGCGGUUUAUAGGAGCUAGAUCUAUCUUUUGGAUGGACCUCCAACCUAUUCUUACCUCCAAAAUCGUUACAAUAGCUUCCUUCUGAAUUUAUCUUUCUUUUCUUUGGUUUAGGUUAUUUUGUAUAAGUUAUUUCAAGGAGAAAAAAGGGAAAGGAUGAUGAGUGUCGUAGAUAAAUCUUCGGUUCCGAAUAGUCUGACUGUUGGUAUCGAGGUAAUCCAACUUUAAAACCAUCGCCGUUAGAGGUCGCUUCCGGUUUACUCGGUUAAGUGACCCAUGAAAUGGUGAUGACCUAAAGUUUGGAACAGUU